CAGGCGUUUCCCGAAAAGCCUGUAUACAAACAGAGUAGGGA
rfam:Fulvivirga imtechensis AK7 contig32, whole genome shotgun sequence.